rnacentral:rRNA from 1 species
GACGAACGCUGGCGGCGUGCUUAACACAUGCAAGUUGAACGAGAAUUUUUCGAGUGCUUUCUUCGGAAUGGUCAUGAAAACGGAAAGUAGCGAACGGGUGAGUAACACGUGAGAAACCUGCCUUUCACAAAGGGAUAGCCUCGGGAAACCGGGAUUAAUACCUUAUGAAACCAAACACUCGCAUGAGAGAUUGGUUAAAGGUUUAUCGGUGUUAGAUGGUCUCGCGUCUGAUUAGCUAGUUGGUGGGAUAACAGCCUACCAAGGCAACGAUCAGUAGCCGGAUUGAGAGGUUGAACGGCCACACUGGAACUGAGACACGGUCCAGACUCCUACGGGAGGCAGCAGUGGGGAAUUUUGCACAAUGGAGGAAACUAUGAUGCAGCGACGCCGCGUGAGUGAUGAAGGUCUUCGGAUUGUAAAACUCUGUCCUUAGUGAAGAUAAUGACAGUAACUAAGAAGCAAGCCCUGGCUAAAUACGUG